AUUGAACGCUGGCGGCGUGCUUAACACAUGCAAGUCGUGCGGUAACAGGCGUAGCAAUACGUGCUGACGAGCGGCGAACGGGUGCGUAAUACAUGGGAAUCUGCCCUUUAGUGGGGAAUAACCCGGCGAAAGCCGGGCUAAUGCCGCAUAAGAUCUUCGGAUGAAAGCGGGGACCGUAAGGCCUCGCGCUGUUGGAUGAGCCCAUGUCGGAUUAGCUAGUUGGNGAGGUAACGGCUCACCAAGGCGACGAUCCGUAGCUGGUCUGAGAGGACGGCCAGCCACACUGGGACUGAGACACGGCCCAGACUCCUACGGGAGGCAGCAGUGGGGAAUAUUGGACAAUGGGGGAAACCCUGAUCCAGCGACGCCGCGUGUGUGAAGAAGGCCUGCGGGUUGUAAAGCACUUUCAGUAGGGAAGAAAAGACCGAGUGCUAAUAUCACUCGGUCUUGACGUUACUUACAGAAGAAGCACCGGCUAACUCCGUGCCA
rnacentral:rRNA from 1 species